rnacentral:rRNA from 1 species
GACGAACGCUGGCGGCGUGCUUAACACAUGCAAGUCGAACGGAAAGGCCUGCUUUCCCUUGUGGAUUGCGGGUACUCGAGUGGCGAACGGGUGAGUAACACGUGAGUGAUCUGCCCCCAACUUGGGUAUAAGCCUGGGAAACUGGGUCUAAUUCCCGAUAGGACUGCAGGGUGGUGCCUGUGGUGGAAAACGAUUUUCUAGUGGUUGGGGAUGAGCUCGCGGCCUAUCAGCUUGUUGGUGGGGUAAUGGCCUACCAAGGCGGCAACGGGUAGCCGGCCUGGGAGGGUGGACGGCCACAUUGGGACUGAGAUACGGCCCAGACGCCUACGGGAGGCAGCAGUGGGGAAUAUUGCACAAUGGGCGGAAGCCUGAUGCAGCGACGCCGCGUGGGGGAUGACGGCCUUCGGGUUGUAAACUCCUUUCGACCGCGAGGAAGCCACCUGGUUGGAAGGGUGGUGACGGUAGUGGUAGAAGAAGCACCGGCUAACUACGUG